rnacentral:lncRNA from 7 species
ACCCACUUUCUGGGAACAUUGCUUUUUCCUUGCAGACUCUGAAGUGGGUGAAUGCAGUUCUAUUUAUGUAGCAAAUUAGAGGUUUGCAUGACUACUGAUUAGCUAACUUCAGAAACUGCAGUAAGGAGGGUAUGGGUACAAAGGACAAGUCUAGACCACUUCAACUAGAUGCUUCCUAUUUUUCCAAUGUCUAGAUUUUUUUUAUAUGAUGGAAAAUGAAUACAUUUCCAGAGGAUAAGGUAAAUGUUUAGGAAACAAGUACAAAAAAUAUAAGAGAUUAUUCUGCAUAUGUUUGAGCCAUUUGGGGAAUGAAUGAAUCAGUUGACAGCCAUAGUGGGAUGAUUUCAAUGGGAAUUGCUACUGAUAUUAGAAAAGUUCUUGUCGAAGAUAUUGAACUGGACAUUUAGUGGAGCUCCAGUGGAUUGAACAGCUCAGAAACAUUGAUUUGAAGCUGUGCUGAACAUACUUCGUACCUCUGUUGAAGAUGCAUUUCCCUGGGUCUAAAGGAAGGUGUUUUCUCAGAUGCACCCACCCUUAUGCCAUCUCAAAGAGGAGCAGGGGCUGACUGCUGCACUACAGGACUUGCAGGAAGGGAUUUCUGGGCAAAUUGUAUCAUGAACAGAAUAUACCUCUGUUGCAUUGGCUGUGAAGCAGAUUGCAAAACCUGUCUAGAGUUAUGCAAGUGUGAUACAAAGUUAGGGAACUCAACCUGUGUUUUGAUCUUGAUUUAUUAAAAAAAAAAAAAAGAAAAAGAAAAAAAAAAACGAAAUGUGAGAAGAACUUCAAUAUGAUAUAAAUGGUUUUAAUUUUUUAGCUAAGAAAGAAAAUUCAUGAGGGAAGAUCCAAGUUCAAAUUAAUUUAAAUUUGAUCAUAAAAGAGUGAUGGAGGACUUCUAGUCCAAAAGGGAGCUCAUUACCUGCCUAUUAAUAGCAAGCUAUUCACAGAGAUGGUCCAAGUGAAAUGUGUGGCAAUUUCCACCAUUUUGUUUUCAUGUUCAAUUUGACAGGAGUCGGUGGAAAUUAUGCUUGUAGGUCUGAUAGGAUUUCUGUGGCUAACAAAAGCAGGAACAAUUCAAUAUUAUGAAGUAUUUAUAAGUCCCUAAGGCACAUUUACAGAUGUCCUUGGCAACAUCAAUUUCUAGCCUGUUAAUAGCUUUAAAAGCUAAAAGCAGAACUGUAGACCUUUUCUAGGCACCAAAAAGCAGCAAAUGCUGACAGACAAGUAGUGAGUAGGCAGGUCCCACUCUACCCACCUCUGAUAACAAUCAAGUCCCUUUAUUGUGCAUUAGCUUCAGGGAAUGGAUUAGCCCUUUUGGCAGCCCACUAUAAAGCACUUUGCAGUAAUCUCAUUUUGAGAUCUGAAAGGCAUGAAUCAUCCAGGUCAAAUUUAAAUUGUACUUUAAGGCUAGAUUCUUAUCUUGUUUGUGCCACAAUGAAUAGAGUACUAUUGCGUAUUAGAGCUCAAGUUGUUACGCUGCCAUGUAAUGUCAGCAUGCAGGUACACAAAAUUGGGCCCUAAAACUGAAAAAAAAUUGGCCUACUAGUAAAAAUAAGCUGAGGGAGGAAGUAGGAAUUGCUAUUUAUAACAAUAAAGAAUCAGCUACUUCAAACAUUGAAUGAGAAGCUUUCUUACCAUAAAGAAAAGGGAAUUGUCCUACUUGAACUAAAUAUAUAUAUGGUACUUACAGAUGAGGUUCCUACUUCUUCACUGAAUUCACCAGGCCUUGUGUUCAACUGUAAGCACUUCCCAGACAGAGUUUAGGAUGCAAAUGUAUACAUUCUUACAUCAUGGGAGUUCUCAUGUGGCAUGG